rnacentral:misc_RNA from 1 species
GAAAUGCGAUAAGUAAUGUGAAUUGCAGAAUUCAGUGAAUCAUCGAAUCUUUGAACGCACCUUGCGCUCCUUGGUAUUCCGAGGAGCAUGCCUGUUUGAGUGUCAUGAAAUUCUCAACCUCUCCCAUCUUUUUUUACAAGAUAAGGGUUGAGGCUUGGACUUUGGAAGUUGCUGGCUUCGUUCGAAUUCAGCUCUUCUUAAAUGAAUUAGCGAAAUCUUUGCUGAUCAUCUUUGGUAUGAUAAUUAUCUAUACCAUAGACAGUCGGGCACCCCUUUGUGGGAAGGUUUUGCUCCUAAUAGUCUUAUUGAGACAACAUUGACAAUUUUGACCUCAAAUCAGGUAGGACUACCCGCUGAACUUAA